UUGUCGCCCCUUAUGGGCCUGGCCCAAUUUCGUGUACCUUGCUCCCUCACCCAACGAAAGAAGGAAGAAUCAUCAGGUAGAGAAUAGCGAAUAGGGUCGCCUCUAGGUUUCCCCGCCGCCACUCAACCGGUCGAUCUACGGCGGCCAGCGGCGCAUACCUUCUCCGACGGGAGGAACGCAACCCUCGUCCCGCGGUGGCGUUGCAACUUGGACGCCGCCCCUUAUGGUCUCGGCCCACUGUAGCCGGAUCCCUGCACGGCCGCCGCCGGAUCCUUGCACGCUGCUGCAGCCGGAGCUCCGCACGGCCGCCGCCGGAUCCCUACACGCCGCCAUUGCUACAGCCCACCCAUACCCUGCACCCUGCAUCAGGCUCGAUGAACCACCCCUCCACGCUCUACACCACGGACACCUCCACCGUCAACCACAACACCAACCUCUACGGCUCCCACAUUCUACGUGGACCUCCAGAACCUCGGCGGCCAUGGUGCGCCUGCCUUGUGCUAAAAAACUGCUCAACAACAGUGACAUGUACGUGUUCCAAAGGGCACCUCGCUGACAUGAUCAAGGCCUGCACUAUCAGCCAUUUGGUUUAGUGUGACUCGCAUGACGCAAUUGUGCGUCGGCGAGGAGGACCAAGCAAGAAGUGGACUGUCAGCCUUCGAAUUUCCUGUGAUCCUUGGCGUCGAAAAGAUGCCACCCCAGACUGUCUCUGCACUACAGGUACACCAAUGAUCUUAUGGUGGCUACGUACUUACAUGUGUACCAUUUUAAGUGGCGCUUAUAUGUGGUUCAACACAAUGUUUUUAGAAAGUUGCAGUUUUUCAGACUAACAACUCAAUCAACAAUUCUAAAUAGUGAGGCUUUGGUGAUUCUGCAAACACCGUUUCUAGGUGCUUGCCAGUGACUGAAGUUAGUGCAUCCAAAGGUCGAUGCAAUAAUAUGUUUGCAUUAUGUAUUUGCAUAGACAAACAAAUUCCAUGAAUUGAGCUCAUCAUGCGUGUGCAUGGCAUUUCCCCUUUUUGAAACCAAGGCAAGAGCACUGUUAUUCAGUUACUGAGUGGUAGAAGUGAUAAUGAAAAGUGUAUUUACGAAACACAAGACCUGCUUGUAGGGUGAAGAUUCUCAAGUUGAGUAUCAUAUUCCUUUGCUAUGCUGCAUUUCCGAUGCCAACAUUUAUUAUCUAGCUCGCGACUAAAGGGGAAGCAAUAACUGGCGUCAACACUUUUAAGGUCAGAGCAUAUACGAGGAUAUAUGUACUCAUGCCACAACUGAGAUUUUGCUAGAGUAUCUUAUAAGUACUAUAUUAUAGGGCAACCAACAUCUUUUUUCCCAAAAUUUUGAGGUAUGCUAAGAAUUAACGUGGGGCUGACACGUGUACACUUUAUAUCUUUGAAUUUCUGCUGGGUUUUAUAUGUGUACACAUUUGGUGUUCCUUACAAAUUUUAAGAAACGCUUUGGGUCUGUGUGGCACCGCUCGUGUGAGUUUGGGUUCACAUGGUUGAUCUUUUUCUCAGUGCAUGUAGCAGCCUAGGGUUGGGCCCCAAUCUUCGAUUCCCGUGCAGUCAAAGCGGCGUGGUUCCACGAUUACCGCUUAACUGCAUCUGCUUCAUUCUCUUCCCCAUCUCUCCCGGAUUGACCUUCAGUGACUUUGUGUCACUUACAAGUGGGACCACGUGGGAUCCACAUAAUGAAGGGUUCCACUUGACCCCAUUUGUAAGUGACGUGACUUUGUGGGCUGACAAAGUCACUGAAGCUCAAUCCAGCCUACACGACCAUCCUCGUGGUAUGCUCCCUGCACCAUGUCACUCUUUCUCUCUAGGCGGUGGCUUGGUCCGCGGUCGGCUGGUGGCGGCUCGUGGAGGCAGAGGAUAGAGGGCUGGGCAGCGGCUGCGACGGGGAGACCCUACGCGGUGUGGUUCCAGUCUUCCAGAGCGACCAAGAGCGCUGAAGGGAGGCAGGCGGAGGUGGUGGAGACCGUGGUGGCAUUCACUGGCGAGGAUCGAGGCUGAUCCAUUGGCGGAAGAAAGGCACCGGAGUCGACCGGUGGCAACGGACGCGGCGGUGCCUCACCUCCAAUCGAGUAGUCCAUCCUCCUUGGAUGGCCUGGCGGUAAGCCGUUUGAGAUCGUGGAUUUCGCCGCUACUACAGCUGCGGUGGCGUUUUCACAUAAACAACCAGCUUGGAGAGUGUCGUACCGGGUGCAGAGUCUGGUCCUCCCCGACUGUCAGCAGCAGCAAGGCACUGAAUACCAUUAGAAUCGAGCUGAUCGCUCUUCUUUUCUUUCACAUCAGAGAUACCUUCAACCAGAGGCAGGUAGACUUCACCUCUGCUCUUUCUAUUUUAUCCGUUUCUUGCUGUGUUGGCAUUCGAGAAAAGUUGAGGUAUGUGCUUCAGUGAGGCUUUUUGCUAAAGAUAGUAAUGCCCCUCGCAAGUUCGUAUCCCAUUACCUCUUUGUGUUUUACUUUGGUGGUUAAAAAUUGAGAUGUCAGCAUUACCACACGAGAAGAGCAGCAGACACCACCAAGAAUAGUAGGAAUUUGGCAUGUCGCAAUAAUGCUUAACUCGCACUUCAUUUUUUCUUUUAAUAAUCGCGCUCACCGUCAGUUCACAGCUGAAGCAAUAUUCUCAUAUGUUGUGUUAACAUCUUCUAUCAUGGUGUACUAUGACAUGUAUAUAUAUACUAGUAAGUGUGCACGUGCAACACACGUCUUAUAAUUUAAAUACAACCAUAUCAUUUGAAUUUUAUAUAUUGUUCUGGCGAGUUUUUUGGGAGUCAAAUAGAGGUUUUCUUCGAAGGUUUAUCCACAAUCAUACAAUUUGUGGAAUUUUUAUUCUUUCAUCUUGAUGUCUUGAUUCCUGAUAUCAUCAUCAUCAUCAUCUUAUUCUGAAUCCGACUAAGAUGAUGACUAAUUUUCUUCAAAAAUGAAUGUGUCAUAUGGACCUAUGAAGUGGUAAUCCGAGUUAGUUUUCAAAUAAUGAUAUAAUGUAAAAUAUGUAUGACGAUACAUAGCAAGAUAUAUUUAUUAAAGACUGUCAGAUCCCAAGACCACAAGAUGACAUGCAUGAUUAUGAUUUUUUUGACAAAUUUAACAUCCGGACACCACAAGUUGACAUGCAUGAUUACGACGAAUCUUUGACAAAUUUUAAUACUGCCCACAUCUAUAAAAAGAUGUCUCAACUCUGGCAAAAUUUGCAUGUAUCUACUCACUGAAAUACAUCUAGAUAAAUGCAUAUUUGAUAUCAUUGAAACAUCUUUUUAUGGACAAAGGUAGUAUAUUCUGUCGGAAAUAUUCAAAAUCAUCAAACAAUUAUGACAGAACAUCUUUUUUCAAACACUUGUAAAUUGUCACACACCUCCGACCGUACAAAACGAUCUUUCUUUGUUUGAAACUGUACAAAACGAUCCUACAGCACACACCCGAAUCAGCACUCCUAAUAAUCUUCAAAAAGAACUGGACAACACUCCCCACUCUGUAGCUCUCUCUCCCACCAACUGUACCUGCUACCUCCCACCGCCCCCGCAAGAUCCCCUGCUCGCCAGCUCCCUCGGUUGACCUCAUCGGGCCGUCCUCCCCUUCAUCCCACCGCAGACGUUAGGACUCGUACACCCCCUGCUCUUCGCCGCCUCUCCUCAUCGAAUCCGUUCAUCGAAGAGUCCGGGGAGGCGCUGCCACUCGGCAUGCUCGCGGCCUCGCCGGCGACCCAGAGCUAGGGGCCGACGGAGGCGGACGCGGAGGCGCGCGCCUCGUAUCCACCGGAUAGGAAGCUGCGGACACCACGUGUUGGAGGGCUUCACAACGCUGGCCGUCCCCCUGCAGAAACAGCCGAUGAGUCGGAGCAAUCACCGAGGGACGCCGUCGAGGACGCCCUGCUCCAGCGGGCUGCCCAUGUGGCGAGCGUUCUGGGCACCACCAAACCAGCAUCGUGUGCAGGUACUUCAAUCCUGUUUGGCGGUUCAUUCGAGUGGAUACCUUGGUGAAAUCCCACGUGGAAUUUCCAAAAAUCUUAUGUUCUACCUAUAUCCUAUGUUCAGCAAGCUGUUGUUGGCAGGAGGCCAGCCCUGCCAAUAUUGGGGACUGGCUUCGCCACUAUAGAUGGAAAUGUGGGGAUGCAGGACCCAGUUGUCAAGGGAACCCCGCCUUGGAGGACCAGUACGCCGUCGAGCUGGGUGCAGGAGACGGGCGGGUGCAGUGGACCUGCCGCCGGUUGGAAGGUGCAGGGCGGCGGUGUCCUGGAAUACAUCGUCGUGGAGGACAGCAUCGUCCUGGAACACGGCAUCGACGUGAAGGCAGGUCGGCAACGUCCUGAAACACGACGGUGUUGGGACGGGCGGCAGAGUUGGAGGUAGAGUGGUGGCGUCAUGGAGGACGGGCAGCGGUGUUUCGCCAGCCCCUCUUCCGACCUCGCUCUUUCUUCCAUGGAGGCCGGCGUCUGGCUCCGAGCCGCGUCGAUGCCGGUGAGCCUGCUGUUUCAGCACAUCUGUCGCCUCCGCCUCCGUUUCCUCCCGCCGUCCCCUCUUCCGACCUCGCCGAUUCGAUCGAAUCUGGCAUCAGUUUUCGAGGAGGAACCCAAGGCAGCAGGACGGCAUGGAUGUUGUCAUGUUGGUCAGGUACCGGCGCGUGGGGAGGCGGCGUGGCAGGGGCUCUCGCGUGGAAGAACAUGGGAAUCUGGUACUGCAGAUCGUGCGAGGCAGUUUGCUUUCUCCGUGGACUGGGCGUGGGUGGGAAUUUUUGUUCGCUCGGCGGACCAUGGCAGACAAUACAUCAUUGGAACGAUCUGAGGCAUUGGAUCUAGGUCUGUGAACGGUGUAGAUCGUUUGGAUGGGACUCUCUUUGCCUUUUAAUAGUAGUGGUGAUAUAUGAAGUGAAGCGAUAAUGCAGACAACUCAAGAGUAGAGGCAUUUGCCAUUUGGACUUGUGGAGUAGAGAUUACAGCGAUUUUAUGGUGUUAUUUGAAUAUCGAGUGUUCAUUUCUUGAUUGAAACGUCUCUGUAAAAGCUGAUUUUUGGAUUCACUAAUUUAACCAGCAAAUACGUUUCCACAAACAACACAUGCCACCUCUAAGGUAAUAUCAUUCCAAGCACUAUUUUCUUCAAAAUCAGAGUGAAAUUUAUGAUAUGCCCCUAUCUAAAAUAAUCUUACAGCUGCUGACAAGAAAAGGUAUUAAUCUGCUACUGUUUCUACAUUUGUUUGCCUUUGGUUAGGUUAAGAUAAGAAUCCCGAAUAAUUAUUAUGUUUGUAAAAAGAAUGGCAACAUGCUAUCACAAUCCAUAUUUGAUGUUCCUGGUAGAUGAAUUACAUUAGUCAUUAUGCCUACUAUCCUGAAGCUCCGAUUUUGAUGGCAGAUCUUAUAUUUUCUGAAUGUUCUUUUCAGUGACAGUAAAGAGGAUUGGUGUGAACUUUAACUGCGAAUGUUCUUUUCAGUGACAAUGCAACAAGAUUGGUGUUGGUCUUAGCCGUGCUGGGGAAGAACUCAUCUCCAUGGCUACGCUUAUAAGUGUAUUAGUUGUUCAUAAUAUAUGUUCAAACUUAUCUCAAAGAAUCGGAAGCCAGAGGUCAAGCUUAAGAUUUUGAGUGGAAUCCAAAAGCUCAAGUUCUGGUACCAGCGGAUGCGCAUUGGGCUAAGCCUGUAUCAGCCGAGGGUGAUCAAGGCGCAGAUCACGAUGGGUCAAUGGGAACUCCCAAGAUGAUACAGAUCUGCCUGAAGAACAAACAUACUGCUCAUGUGGGAGGUGCAAUAAUAACUGGACAAAGUUCAAUCUUCUACGCGAGGCAAUGAUAUGCUCUCACUACUCAGGGAUGGAUACUCGAGAAGUUUAGAUGCUUAUAGAUUAUGUGGUAUGCAGCCCCGCUAACAUCAUUUUAUGUUUUAGUAAUAUCUUUCACCGUCAUUACGGACUUUCGUAGUCAAAUACCGUUUUAAUGAUAAAGUUUUGGAAAAUAAUUCAGGUAAUCAGAUUGUAGACCUAGUUGAAUGAGUAUUCAUUGUCCUGUUUUACAAUAAUGUAAUGUGUCAAUAAUUUAGACCGCUCAUACAGAAACAAAUAUGAUAUCAUUUGCUUUGAUACUGUUCUAA